rnacentral:rRNA from 1 species
AGCGAACUUGGCAGAGAUGCCUUGGUGCCUUCGGGAACGCUGAGACAGGUGCUGCAUGGCUGUCGUCAGCUCGUGUUGUGAAAUGUUGGGUUAAGUCCGCAACGAGCGCAACCCUUAUCCUUUGUUGCCAGCGAUUCGGUCGGGAACUCAAAGGAGACUGCCGGUGAUAAACCGGAGGAAGGUGGGGAUGACGUCAAGUCAUCAUGGCCCUUACGAGUAGGGCUACACACGUGCUACAAUGGCGCAUACAAAGAGAAGCGACCUCGCGAGAGCAAGCGGACCUCAUAAAGUGCGUCGUAGUCCGGAUCGGAGUCUGCAACUCGACUCCGUGAAGUCGGAAUCGCUAGUAAUCGUGGAUCGGAAUGCCACGGUGAAUACGUUCCCGGGCCUUGUACACACCGCCCGUCACACCAUGGGAGUGGGUUGCAAAAGAAGUAGGUAGCUUAACCUCCGGGAGGGCGCUUACCACUUUGUGAUUCAUGACUGGGGUGAAGUCGUAACAAGGUAAGCGUAGCGAG